CGUUUUGAGUGCUCGAAAAGAAACAGAAGCGGCCUGACACAGUGAUUUCUGGUUGCUUCAUGAGUUUCCUUUGAUCCUGAAGUCAUAGAUAAACAACCUGCAUGACAGGGAACCUUCUGAGGUUAAAGCUUUGCUUUGUGCCAUUGUUUUUUAGGAUGAUUCAUACGCUUCUGUCUCUUUCCUUGACCGUGUUAUUGCAGUAGUAGAGAGUUUUCUGUGAGGGAUCGCACAUAGUUCUUCUUGGAAACCU
rnacentral:lncRNA from 1 species